AAUGGACGAAAGUCUGACGGACACGCCGCGUGAGUGAUGAAGGUUUUCGGAUCGUAAAGCUCUGUUGUUAGGGAAGAACAAGUACCGUUCGAAUAGGGCGGUACCUUGACGGUACCUAACCAGAAAGCCACGGCUAACUACGUGCCAGCAGCCGCGGUAAUACGUAGGUGGCAAGCGUUGUCCGGAAUUAUUGGGCGUAAAGGGCUCGCAGGCGGUUUCUUAAGUCUGAUGUGAAAGCCCCCGGCUCAACCGGGGAGGGUCAUUGGAAACUGGGGAACUUGAGUGCAGAAGAGGAGAGUGGAAUUCCACGUGUAGCGGUGAAAUGCGUAGAGAUGUGGAGGAACACCAGUGGCGAAGGCGACUCUCUGGUCUGUAACUGACGCUNAGGAGCGAAAGCGUGGGGAGCGAACAGGAUUAGAUA
rnacentral:rRNA from 1 species